UACGGAGGGGGCUAGCGUUGUUCGGAAUUACUGGGCGUAAAGCGCACGUAGGCGGCUUUGUAAGUUAAAGGUGAAAGCCCGGGGCUCAACUCCGGAAUUGCCUUUAAGACUGCAUCGCUCGAAUUGUGGAGAGGUAAGUGGAAUUCCGAGUGUAGAGGUGAAAUUCGUAGAUAUUCGGAAGAACACCAGUGGCGAAGGCGACUUACUGGACACAUAUUGACGCUGAGGUGCGAAAGCGUGGGGAGCAAACAGG
rnacentral:rRNA from 1 species